UACGAAGGGGGCUAGCGUUGCUCGGAAUCACUGGGCGUAAAGCGCACGUAGGCGGGUCGUUAAGUCAGGGGUGAAAUCCCGGAGCUCAACUCCGGAACUGCCUUUGAUACUGGCGACCUUGAGGCUGGAAGAGGUUAGUGGAAUUCCCAGUGUAGAGGUGAAAUUCGUAGAUAUUCGGAAGAACACCAGUGGCGAAGGCGGCUCACUGGCCCGGUACUGACGCUGAGGUGCGAAAGCGUGGGGAGCAAACAGG
rnacentral:rRNA from 1 species